AGCCUGGGUGUCAGAGUGAGACUCCAUCUAGAACAAACAAACAAACAAAUAAACAAAAAACAACAAUUUAUUGAGUGCCCCUGCAUUCAGAUGUUAGGAUAUAGAGAUGAAUGGGACAAGGCUCCUGCCCGCAAGGAGCACACUGUUCAUGGGGGAGUAUGACUCAUAGACAGAAAGGCCCCCAAAUCUCAGCCUGGUGCAACCAAGAGGCCUACAAAAGGCUGGAGCUGAGCCAUCUUCUGUCAGCGUUAGUCGUGUGUGGAUACGGAGCGCCUGAAAUGUGGCUAGUCUAAACAAAGAUGUGCUGUGGGUGCAAAAUACAAUUCAGAUUUUAAAGACUCAGUAUGAAAAAUUAUAUGAAAUAUCUCAAUAGUAAUUGAAUAAUUUUUUUUUUUUCUAGAAAUGCAGUAACAUUAUGUUGCCCAGGCUGGUCUCAAACUCCUGGCUUCAAGCUAUACUCCCACCUCGGCCUCCCAAAGGGCUGGGAUUACAGGCGUGAGCCACCAUGCUUGCUCAGUAAUUUUUUAUAUUGAUUGUGUGUGGAAAUGAUGCUGUUUUAUAGAUACUGGGUUAAAUAAAAACAUUAUUAAAAUUAAUUUCCUCUGCUUCUUUUUACUUUUUAAGAUGUGUUUUAUUAGUUUCUCGAGACUAUCGUAACAAAUUACCACAAACCUGAUGCUUUAAAACAACAAACAUUUAUUCUGUCACAGUCUGGAGCCUGAAAUUGGACAGAGCCAUGCUCCUUUCAGGGAUUGAAAGGGAGAAUCCAUUCCUUGCCUCUUCAAAUUUCUGGUGGCUGUCCUGGAAUUCCUGGGCUUGUGGCCACAUCACUCCAGUCUCAGUCUGUGUCUUCACAUCUCCUUCUCCUCUUCUGUCUGUCUAAUCUCCCUUUGCCUCCCUUUUAUUUUCUUUAUUUUGAGAGAGGGUCUUGCUUUGUUUCUCAGGCUGAAGUGCAGUGGUACCAUCAUGGCUCACUGCAGCCUUGAACUCCCAGGCUCAAGCAAUCCUCUUGCUUCAGCCUCCUGAGUAGGUGGGACUAUAGGCACAUGCCACCACACCCAGCUAAGCUUUUAAUUUUUUUGUAGAGAUGGAAGUCUCACUAUUUUGUCCAGGUUGGUCUCAAACUCUUGGCCUCAACUGAUCCUCCCACCUCAGCCUCCCGAGUUGCUGUGAUUACAGGCCUGAGUCGCCACGCCCAGCUGGACACUGGGUAUAUUUUUUAGCAGCUGUUUUCUAACAUCCAGUGUUCAGCUUUGUGGGCAUGAAGAGCUUGUUGCUGAAACAACUUCCUGAAUCAGUUGUGAUGAUGGUUCUUGAAGUCCACAGACCCUGAGCGGCUUCUGAUUCUUUUAUUUUUUUCUGAGAUGGAGUCUUACUCUGUUGCCCAGGCUGGAGUGCAGUGGUGCGAUCUCAGCUCACACUGCAACCUCCACUUCCUGGGUUCAAGCGAUUCUCCUCAAGCCUCCCGAAUAGCUGGGACUACAGGUGUGCGCCACCAUGCCCAGAUUUUUUUUUUUUUAUAUUUUUAGUAGAGACGGGGUUUUGCCAUGUUGCUAGGCUGGUCUGGAACUCCUGACCUCAAGUGAUCCGUCUGCCUCGGCCUCCCAUAGUGCUGGGAUUACAAGUGUGGGCCACUGUGCCCAGCCACUCCUGAUUCCUUACUCUCCUGAUGGUACCAGAGGGCAAGACUCCCAGGUGGGUUGCUCGGCCCCUGUGUUCUGGGAGCUAUUCCUGCAGUGCAGCUUGCUCCUCUAGCCCUCUUGAUCAUUUUCUAAGGACAGAAUACUGCAUGAAAUUCCUCUCUGCUUACACUAGCUAGUGUGGCUUCUGUUUCUUGCAGGUGACUGAUGAGAAUGGGUGGGGCCAGGGUAUAGACUGGCCUGAGCAGUGGGAAUUUUCUGUGGUGGGCAGUGGAGAUACACGGGGAGCCUUUAAGCAGGGCAAGGUCAGGGAGGGAAUGACAUGAGCAUAUGUGUGCCUUAGGGAGGUUCUGUUGCUUCAGGGAGGUGCUGAGCCCCCUGAGAAGGUAGCAGAGGUGCAGACUUCACUGCUUUCUGGGAGUCCCUCUUCUUUGGGGUUAAGACAGACCCAAAAGAUUGGAGAGAGAUGUUCUUUGCCUCAAUGGGGCAGGUCAUUGACUUUGAGUGUUUAGCCUCCUGAGCAUUCUAGGCUUUAUUUGCAACAUGCAAAUCUAAAAUGAAUAGCAGGGAGGACUUUACAGUACAGAGGAUAGUGAGAAUUUUGGUAACCAAAAACCAGGCUCAGGAUCAAGAGAGAACAGAGCAGGUAAAAGCUCGGCACUGGCGCUCUGGGUGUCUGAAUUCACACUUAGUCUCCAUUGCCAAUUUACUGUGAUACUCCAGGAAAGAGAGUUACCCUUUUAGGGCCUCUGAAGUCCCUCUGAGAGGGAGGAAAGUUUUCCUCCUCCUGUUGUGUAGGAGGGGUGAGGGGCAGUGGCGAGAGAGGUCCUUCUUUUUCCAGGGGAGGAGAUGAUGUUCUUUCCAAUGGGGCUGCUCUCAGGUCUUAUGCUUUUGGACCUCUGACCCCCCUAGCUAUAAAAUGCACAUGCCUGGCCGGGCGCAGUGUCUCACACCUGUAAUUCCAAUACUUGGGGAGGCUGAGGCAGGUGGAUCUGAGCCUCAGGAGUUUGAGACCAGCCUGGGCAACAUGGUGAAACCCUUGUAUCUCCUUAAAAAAAAAAUUAGCUGGGAACAGUGGUGCCUGUCUGUAGUCCCAGCUACUUGGGAGGCUGAGGUGGGAGGAUCACCUGAGCCCAGGUAGGCUGAGGCUGCAGUGAGCCAUGAUGGUGCCACUGCAUUCCAGCCUGGGUGACAGAGUGAGACCCUAUUUCAAAAUAAUAAUAAUAAUAAUAAUAAUAAUAAUAACAACACAUGCCUGAAGCUCUAGUCAAUGGCUUGCCUCUGCAGGGCAGGUAAAGUCCAAUUCAGGAACAUCUUUAUUAUGAAGGCUUACAUCCAGGUCAGGGUGACCCCAUUCAUUCUCCAACCCCAGAAUGGAGGGCCCCUCAGGCACUGCCGCAUCCUCAGACUCAAACUCUGUUGUUCACACAUCCCAUCGGUAAAAAAUGUUGAGCAGGCAACCUAACAACUAUUUGUUUAUAAAUUACAGAUAUAUAGGCCAGGUGUGGUGGCUCACGCCUAUAAUCCCAGCACUUUGGGAAACUGAGGUGGGUGGAUCACUUGAGGUUAGGAGUUCAAGACCAGUCUGGCCAAUAUGGUGAAACCCCAUCUCUACUAAAAAUAUAAGAAUUAGCUGGAUGUGGUGGUGCACGCUUGUAAUCCCAGCUACUUGGGAGACUGAGGUGGGAGGAUCACUUGAACCCAGGAGGUGGAGGUUGCAGUGAGCCAAGAUCAUGCCACUGCACUCUAGCCUGGAUGACACAGCGAGACUCCAUCUCAAAAAAAAACCCAAAAACAUUAGGUACGUGGAACUUUACAAAUUAUAUACAUGAGCUAUAUAUACAUAAAUAUAUUAGUAUUUACAUUACAAAAAUAUAUGUACAUUAUAAAAUAUGUUAUGCUCAUUAUACGUAUAUGUGUAAACUAUAUUAUAUACAUUCUAAAAUUUUAAAUAAAGAUGAAGAAAAAAUACAUUGAAUCUUUUUCAAUGAUAUAUUUAAAAGUAAUUUUAUGGCAUCUCAUUUAAUUAAAACCCUUUUGUUCUCACAAUGAGAGCAACGUGAUUGAAUAUGCUUGUUUAUUUUUGAAACUCCUGGUUUGUGAAAUCUGAAAACACUUUGUGGAACAGUGAUUUGAAUGUCUCAUUCUAAAUUCAGUUUAUUUCAAUAUUCAGUUUUAAUGGUUGUCACAGCUGAAAAGAAGGCCUCACGAAGAUACCUAGAUCCAGACGGAUGGGGUGCAUUGUGGGCUCAGCUCAUUAAAUCAUGACAUUAAUUUUCAAUUUUCAAUUUCAUCCACCAAUUAUGCAAAGGUUUUGUUCAAAAUUGGCUUGCAAAUUUCCAUCUUCUCUCAUGUCAAUCAGUUGUUCUUGCAAAGAAAUUGGAAUAUGUUGCAUUAUAAUACUUUCAGCAAAUGGCUUUUAAACCCACUCAAACUCUUCAUUUAGAAGAUUUUUAAGCAAAUUAAACAUUUCUUUUUUAGUUCGUUGUUUGAAGGGCAGAUAUGAAGGAUCUUGGGAACACAUGAGGUUUUCAGCCACAAAAUCAUGUAACAAUAGGAACACUUUCAAACCUUAUUUUCAAAUGCUCUGUCAUAUUCUUUUCCUUCCCCCACAGUUGCUUCCUUGAUAACUUGGCUGCACUUCACCUUUAUCCUGAUGAAAAGAGAUUUCAUUUUUGGAAAUCUCUACUGUAGCACUCAAUAGGCAAUACUUGUUCUUCCUUUGUGAUAUGGCAAAUGAGGCGAUCUUCUACUAUUUUCUUGCUGUUUCUUUGCAGAAAUCUUUUUAGGCCGUUUAUCCUUUUUUUUUUUUUGAAGGAGGGCUAAUUUAGUUUGAAUCAGGCAGUAUAAACUGGGAUAUGCAGACAUCAAUAUGUCACAAUACAUUGAAAGUGAGCAACAGAGUGAGAGUAUAGCCCUCAAGUUCUCUGCCUGAUGGAGUGACUAAUUCAGGGGACAUAAUUGGCCAACAAACAGACUGAGUGAGGGUGCCUAGGUCAAUCUGUAUGUUAAAUAUUAGUUGACCUGAAUUUAUUUAUUUAUUUAUUUUUCUCUCUUUUCUUUUCUUUUUUUUUUUUUUUAUUUUGAGACGGAG
rnacentral:lncRNA from 1 species